AAUGCAUCGAGAUUUAAAGCUCCGGCGCCUUAGGAUGGGUCUGCGGCCUAUCAGGUAGUAGUGGGUGUAGCGUACCUACUAGCCUACGACGGGUACGGGUUGUGAGAGCAAGAGCCCGGAGAUGGAUUCUGAGACACGAAUCCAGGCCCUACGGGGUGCAGCAGGCGCGAAAACUUUACAAUGCUGGCAACAGCGAUAAGGGAACCUCGAGUGCCAGGUUACAAAUCUGGCUGUCGAGAUGCCUAAAAAGCAUUUCAUAGCAAGGGCCGGGCAAGACCGGUGCCAGCCGCCGCGGUAA
rnacentral:rRNA from 1 species